rnacentral:rRNA from 1 species
AUGCGCGUUGGCCGUCUCUGUUGUCGGGCUGCGUGGCGGGCCGUGGUGCUCCUCCGGAGGGAGGAGCAUUGCUGCCGGGAUGUGGUUGUCGCCGCUGUAGACGGCCGUGCCGAUGGAGGCCGCGGGUGCGGCCUCAACCAUCGCAUCCAGGGGGAAAAGGGAGGAGGAGAGUGGACGAGCGGCCGCCGCUUAGACCUUCCUCCGUCCGGAAUCGAGUCCGCUGAUCCGCGGCCGAUCUCAUUUAAGAGAGUGUGUUCGAGGCUUCCAAUUCUUGAAUCGAUGGAGGCUGGCGCUGCGUUCUUCCAUCGGUUCUUCUUUCUUUGUAGUUCACGAUUGAUCAAUUCUUCGUGA